rnacentral:misc_RNA from 1 species
GGGAAAACUUGCUCCGACCGUUGAGAAAGCAAAGCGUGGUUUUGGCAUGAGACCUCCAAAAGUAGAAGCAUAACUACCAUUAGAAAGAGUUUGGCCUUACUAGGAAGGAGGCUGCUUACAAUAUACGGAAAAUCUGGAGCUGCAGUGCCUGACAGGUGAAUGUUAGGUUACUGUGAAGGAGACAUGUAAAAUGGAACUUAGAUUAUUUUUGUUUUGUCGCGUGCCAGUGAGAAAUUUGUGUCUUACAGAUCUACAUACUUUCUUCUUCUUCUUCUCUGUCGAUGUAAAUUCAUUAAAAUGUAGUUGCUGUGUGCACUUGUGUAGUAGUAUUAAAGGAAGUUUGUGUGGCUACUACUGAAUCAUGGCUAUAUGGUUGUGCAAAU